UUAAGUCCGUAACGAGCGCAACCCUUGUCCUUAGUUACCAGCACGUUAUGUGGGCACUCUAAGGAGACUGCCGGUGACAAACCGGAGGAAGGUGGGGAUGACGUCAAGUCAUCAUGGCCCUUACGGCCUGGGCUACACACGUGCUACAAUGGUCGGUACAAAGGGUUGCCAAGCCGCGAGGUGGAGCUAAUCCCAUAAAACCGAUCGUAGUCCGGAUCGCAGUCUGCAACUCGACUGCGUGAAGUCGGAAUCGCUAGUAAUCGUGAAUCAGAAUGUCACGGUGAAUACGUUCCCGGGCCUU
rnacentral:rRNA from 1 species